CCAAGGGCACCAGCACAGCAGGGCACAUACCCCAGUCAGAAGUUUCACAGGCAGACCAAGAAAAGUGUAUUCCAGCUCCUUUCUUCCACUGGCAUUUCCCUGGUCAAGCUGAUCCAGUCAUGAGCUCCCUAUCCCUAGUUAUACACGGUCCUCCUGGUAUUUUCUUUCCCACACUGGUAUCAUGCUCUUCCAUGCAAACAUCUACAGAGCAACCCAUAAGACGUGGCCUACCCAUUUCUUUUCUACCACAUGUCAAGGGCAUUAGGAGUUACAAGUUAAAAUACUGCCCAAACAGUGCUGCAAGAUCUGUAAUGUGGUCUCAGGCCCCAGAGUGAACAGGGGCUCACACUGUAACACAGAAGAAGGGGGAAUCUACAGUUCAAAAUCAACAUCCAGCUGUCUGCUAAAGGGGAUUUGCCUGGAGACUGUUUGUCUGUGCUUUCUGAGGGAGAAGCUAAGAAACCCUUGUGAGACCAGGCUGCAAGAAAAACUGCUCCACAGGAAGUGUAGAGGUGAGCCUGAACGGACACAGAACAGCAAGAUCCAAAGAAAAGGAAGUUUCUUGUGUGAUGAUUUCCAUUUUCUCCUCUUUCCUUCUCUUUUCAGGUCUCUGUCAAAUAAAACUGGGGUUAAAACACUUUCUCCUCUCCUUCUGAAAGGCAAACUGAUUGGUCCUUAUGAGACUCUUGGAGUGAAAGGAAUACAUAAAAUGGUAUUUACCAUUUGUGGCAUUGGAAAUGCUGCAGAUUUGCCAUGGCUGUGAGCAUCAGGGAAUAUCCCAAGCCGUUAGGAAGCCACAAAGAUCAUUGAGUAGCUGGAUGCACAGUAUUUGGACAGGUGACAGGUACAAGAAAAGCCCUGAGAAGACUGGGCAUGAGGCUUCAUCUGGAGCUGAAGAAAGAGGCUGUUUUUGGAAAGGUUGGUGGGAAUAGCUCCUGGAAAACAGGCUCUCCCUCUAGAGCCUUCCAUUCAGACCGGGAUCAUAUGGAACAUCCCUCCCCAUCUCCUUGCUGGUUAACCACACCUGCAGCAUCUCUGCCUCAUUUUUUUUGGAGAUUUCUCCGUCAAACGAAGGAGCUCUUUAACUCUAAAAGAGUUAAUGGUUUCUCUUAACUAAAGGAUGUGUGCAACACCCAGACGUCCCCCCCACAGUGAGGCACAGCUCCCAGAGCCGCCCUCCGGGGGUCCCGGCCGGUGUCCCGGGGCUGGCCCCGCCGGGAGCCGGGCGCUG
rnacentral:lncRNA from 1 species